CCUACGGGGGGCAGCAGUAAGGAAUAUUGGUCAAUGGGCGGAAGCCUGAACCAGCCAUGCCGCGUGCAGGAAGACGGCCUACGGGUUGUAAACUGCUUUUAUACGGGAAUAUGUACUGUAAGAAUAAGGAUCGGCUAACUCCGUGCCAGCAGCCGCGGUAAUACGGAGGAUCCAAGCGUUAUCCGGAUUUAUUGGGUUUAAAGGGUGCGUAGGUGGCCUGUUAAGUCAGGGGUGAAAGACGGUAGCUUAACUAUCGCAGUGCCUUUGAUACUGACGGGCUUUAAUCCACUUGAGGUAGGCGGAAUGUGACAAGUAGCGGUGAAAUGCAUAGAUAUGUCACAGAACACCAAUUGCGAAGGCAGCUUACUAAAGUGGAUUGACACUGAGGCACGAAAGCGUGGGGAUCAAACAGGAUUAGAUACCCGAGUAGUC
rnacentral:rRNA from 1 species